UACGAACGCUGGCGGCGCGCCUAACACAUGCAAGCCGAACGAGCGAGAGAGAGCUUGCUUUCUCGAGCGAGUGGCGAACGGGUGAGUAACGCGUGAGGAACCUGCCUUUCAGUGGGGGACGAACAGUUAGAAAUAGACUGCUAAUAACCGCAUAAGCGCACAGCAUCGCAUGAUGCAGUGUGAAAAACUACCGGUGGUAUGUGAUGGACCCGCGCCUGAUUAGCUAGUUGGUGAGGUAACGGCUCACCAAGGCGACGAUCAGUAGCCGACCUGAGAGGGUGAUCGGCCACAUUGGGACUGAGACACGGCCCAA
rnacentral:rRNA from 1 species